rnacentral:rRNA from 1 species
AUGUGUGCUUUCCAGUCCAGAGGGCAGGGAUUCUUUUAUAUUCCUGAUUUUGGUGUUGAUAGACAGUCAAGAGAGCAGGUGUACAAUGUUGUGGUCACCGUUACUGAGGGUUCUGCUCAAACCAAAGAUAUCGAGCAUGAACUGAGCGUUUACGUUGGCCAGGGGUGGCGAUGCUCUGCUAGAUUUUUUGCUCCUUAGAAAUUUGUUAUGAGAAUGCCAAACCCUAGAGAAGUGGAUAGAGCCCUUUUUGUUGAACAUGUUAGACUCAAGAAAUGUGGAGUUAGUGUUAAGUUUUCCCCCUGGUCUGAAGAUAUUGAUUCUGAGGGGCUUCUGGAAGUUGCUUGGGUUAGAAUUUGUAAAAUCCCCUCCUAA